ACGCCGAGGUCGUCCCGGCCUCCGCGAGUUCUUACGGGUGGCUGCCGUUGACGUUUACAUUUGAAUUUCCCUGAACUGCCGGGUGUGGGCGUGGGAGCGGGCCCGCCCCGGAAAUCUCCGGGCUCCUUCCCGCCAGCCGCCGGCCCGCCCCAUGCAGGGGUUCCCGCGGCGCGGUGGGACGGCCCGGCGCGCGUCGGGCCCAGGGUGGCCGGGCGGGCGAGCAGCCCGAGCCGCCCCUCCCGACCGCCCUCAGCGCUUCCCCCGCCACGCCCAGCCCAGCGCGCCCGGCCGACGGUUGCUCCGGAGUAGAAUUUUGAAUUCACAGGCCCCGCCCCCGGGCCGCCGGGCGCGCCGCCUGCUCCCCAUUGGCUGAUGACGGUCAGGUGGGGCGCAGAGCGCGCUGGCCAUGUUGGGGAGCGGUUGGGGAGCGGUUGCCGUGGUCUGAGCUGCCUCCUCCUCCUCCCCAUGGGCCCCUCUCCCCGGCCCGCCGCGCAGCGCCGCGAGCCUGAGAGGAAGCAAAGUGCUGCGGGCGGGAGACUCGGCGGCGGCGCCGGCGGCGCCCGUGGACCCUGCUCGACCUUCCCGGUAACCCUCUCCGCGGUCUUCCCGAGUGUGUGUGCGCGUGUUUCCUUACAAAGGGCAUUUUAUGACUGAUCGCUUCGUAGGCCUCCCCUUUUGCCCUUUGUGCUGUAACCUCUCUCCCGCCAUCGCAGGUGCUGCUUCCUCCCCACGCCGGCCUCUCCGCGCGCGCUGGUCGCCGGUGUGUGCCUUCGGUCCUGCCUUCGCUCCUGCAGCGCCCCCUGCUCAUUCUCCGCCGCCGAUCGCCCCACUGCCCACCAUGGCGACCCCCGUGCCGCCGCGGGCGGGCAGCCGCGCCAGCGGCCUUGCCACUCGGCUGAGCCCUACGCGGUUGUCGCUGCUGCAGGAGAAGGAGCUGCGCGAGCUCAGUGACCGCUGGCCGUGUACAUCGACAAGGUGCGCAGCCUGGAGACGGAGAACAGCGCGCUGCAGCUACAGGUGACGGAGCGGGAGGAGGUGCGCGGCCGCGAGCUCACCGGCCUCAAGGCGCUGUACGAGACCGAGCUGGCCGACGCGCGCCGCGCCCUGGACGACACGGCCCGCGAGCGCGCCAAGCUGCAGAUCGACCUGGGCAAGAUCAAAGCCGAGCACGACCAGCUGCUCCUCAAUCACUGUUUUAUUACUCCUAAACUAGUAAAGAACUAGAUUUCACCAGAACAAGUAUUAGUUACAUGAGACUUAAGUUAAAAAGGCAGAAGAGGGACCCCAAACUCCACUCUGACCUGGUAACCAUGGCCUUUAAAGUCUUUAAUACCUGUGAUGGAGAACAUGAAAGGAGGACAGUGUCCUGAACUUGAGCCUUUGCGGCAGCCCUGUGGCCAGCAAGACGGGUCUCAUCACACCAAAGAUUGGACCAGAGCUCGUGAGCCUCCGGUGCGGCCAAGAAGGCCACUGGGCAAAGAGAUGCCCCAACCUGACCAAUAAGCCGACCAAACCCUGCCUAGAUUGCGGUAAGAGAGGUCAUUGGAAAGUAGUGCCUGGUUGGGGAAGGUCAUACCCCCACAACAGAGUCUCGUGGGAGGCAGGUCCCCCUGAGGGACUCCCCUCUGAACCUGCUGAGCUUACUCAACGACUGGAGCUGCCUGGACUCCAACACCCCUAUCACCCUUGCUGAGCCCAGGGCCACACUGGGGGUAGCAGGUAAGUCUAUCUCCUUUGUGUGAACCUGACAAUGCCUUCUGAGGUCUGCCUUAUAGCGGAAUCCUUUCCCAAAUUCAAGGCAUGUAUGAGUGAGCUCUCCUGAAUGAAUUUUCAGGUGACUAUUAAGUAGCUUCUUGCUUGCAAAACAUGUCCCACACUGCAUACAUUGGGACUGUUUUGCUUAUAGGGUCUGGGUCUCUCUCUGGGACUGUUUUGCUUAUAGGGUCUGGGACUCUCUCUGGGACUGUUUUGCUUAUAGGGUCUGGGACUCUCUGGGACUGUUUUGCUUAUAGGGUCUGGGACUUUCUCUGUGACUGUUUUGCUUAUAGGGUCUGGGACUGAGGGGCCCUUCCCUGCUGGAGCUCUUAGCUGCCUCUCCUAGAGAAGGGCUCUGAUCAUGGACAGGUGCUAGGCAAUCCCAGGGCAGCUGCUCUGCGAGGGUUCCCAGUGGAUUUUUCAGCUGUUUGGAGCGUUUGGGUAAAUUGAGCCCAUUUCCACCUAUCACAGAGCCAUGGACUCCUGGUAUCCCUUCCUUGGAGUCCUGGAAUUUCCUCUCCCAUGGCUCUUGAUGCCCUUCAUGCAUGGGGGCUACCUACUCUGUUUUACCUUCCUUUCAUGGGUGUUUACAUCCUUCCCAGGUCUCGGUUGUGAGUGUCAUGGGAAUCCUCUCUAAGCCUCUAGAGACAGGUCCGGUAGCCUGCAUGUUUGAGAGCCAUCCUCUUACCCACUCAUUUCUAGUCAUCCCAUCCUGUCCCAUCCCUUUGUUAGGGAGGGAUCUACUCUCCAAGCUUGGUGCCUCUAUCUCCCUGCCUCUUAGUCAUCCCCAACCAAGCUCACUGAUCAUCUUAGCCAACAUAAGUUGUAGCCCUGAGGCCUCCACAGACCCUCCUGUACCGUCGACCGGCGUUAACCUGAUAGUCUGCGACACCUCUACUGUAGUGUCGAGCCAUCAUGCUCCGGUCCCAUCUGCCUCAAAGACCCAUCCUCCUCUCCUUCUAGACCCUGAUUUCCUAUUUCCCAAGCCCAUCUCAAGGGCAUCCAACCUAUCCUUAACCAUCUUCUUUCCCAAAGGCUUCUGGUACCAACUAAUUCUCCCUGUAACACUCCAAUCCUUCCAGUCAAGAAGCCAUCGGGGGCCUACCAGCUUGUUCAAGACCUGCGGAUAAUCAAUGAGGCUGUAGUCCCUCUUCACCCAGUCGUCCCUAACCCUUAAACUCUUACCGCAGGUUCCCCCGGACACCUCUCCUACCUACCUUACUUCUCGCUCCUAAGAAAGAUACCCCCUUGUCCCACCCAAUGCUUGUCUUUCCAUUCUUUUGUCCAGGCUAUGAACAAACCUCAGUCUGUCUCCCAUUGUCCGGACAACAGUAUUGGACAGGGCAAAGCCUGGGUGAUCAUGCUAGAUAUAUCUGUCCUGAGAGACGAUGACAACAUAUCUGCUAGAACCUUCAGCCACUGAUAGGUCGGACAGUAGAAGUGCACAAGACCAUGUGGGUACAUCAGUACUCGCCCCUUCCCUCCAAGCUGCCUCUGGCCUCCCACCAGCCUCAACCCUACCCACGCCGCCCCUCCUCAGCCGGAAGUAGCCAGAUCGAGUCAGCGCCCAUUAUAACCAAAAGGCUGGAAUGUAAGGCUGGAGGCACCAGAGGGAGGAGUGAGCAUGUCGGACACCGGCCUGAUGACGUGCCAAAAUCCCCAGCUACUGCCCACUCCCAACCAGGAAAAGGUGCCUUAGGCUAGCCAAUCCUCCCGCCGCUGUAAAUCUAAGCUCUGGCUCCCCCUACCUCCUUUAAAAACUCACUGCCUGCCCUGCUGGGUGCAACUUCUCCGGCCUGUGACUAACCAGACUGGCAAACAUUGCCCGGGAUUGCAUCCUAUUAAACUUUUGUCACCUUUGUA